AUGGCUUUUUCUCUCAGCCCCUGUGCUGAGGGGGCUUGCGCUAUGAGCGCGCGGAAGCAACGUUGGUCGCACAGGAGAGCAGCGUGUCCGAGAACGGAGAAGGAGAAGAAGAGAGAGGGCGGACCUUGUUCGGUCGUUCUUAUGGCUUGAAAUGGUUCACGCCCCUUUUUCGCGUAAACAGCCAAUGAAAGUCCGCGAUCUGAAGCGGAGGGAAAAGUUCCUUUGUCUCUGUGGAGACAACCCCCCUGGAGAUCUAGGGCUUUUCCAAAUUCCAGGGAUUAUUCUAGCAAGUUUGUAAUUCAGUUUACAUACAUUUUUCAUUACUUUGCUCUAGAUAAAUGGGUCUGUCAGAGCAUGACGAUCACAAAGAUACUAAACAUAAUAUAUAUAUAAUCAAAACAUGAAGUUACAUUCAAAUGCAGAAUUACACAUAUUUAAAGAUUUGAUUAACACAUGAUAACACUGCAGAUAGUCCCAAUUUAUAUGGGAAAUUUCUAAUGCACCGCAAAAUCAAUAACAUACACAUUAAGACUACAUUUGAGUACAUUUUACCAUUCUUUUGUAAGGAUUACGUUUCCUGUCCUGUGUGGUCGUAAAGUUUUACGACCUGCAGGGGUGGGGGUUGCAGGAACAUGGCUCUCUUUGAGAAAGUUGAAGUGAGGAGAGACAUUUCCUAAAGUAUAAGCUAGCAACUUAUACUCUUCACAUAACAAGAAUUAACCAUUUUAUGCAAUCCAUAAACAUAUUUAAAAUACAUAUUAAUAAGGACUUACUAAAGUAAGGAACUUUACGAAAGGUUUAUUUUUGUGUAUGUUGGAAUGUGGUUGGUUUAGUGUCUCCUUUGAGGCUCCCCCGGGCAUCGUAAAUUAAUUUAAGUCCGGCCAGGCUGGCGCCAGGCCAGGCAAUUAGUGCAAAAAAUUUUUAUGCCUGAAUUUAACCCAUGAAUCGAUGAUCUGCAUAUCUGUUACACCUAGGAAGGAGGUCCUGGACACAUGGAAUUCGCAUUUCUCUGCCUUGACAUAGAGCUGAUUCUCUAAUAAUCUGGUAAGUACUGUUCUGACGUGACCCUUGUGUUCCUCUUCAGACUUGGAGUAGAUUAGGAUAUCGUCAAUGUAGACAAUCACAAAUUUGUUCAAGAGGUCCCUGAAAAUUUCAUUCAUGAAUGACUGGAAUACCGCAGGUGCAUUUGCUAGCCCAUACGGCAUAACCUGGUAUUCAUAGACCCUAGUGGUCAGAAAUGCAGUCUUCCAUUCAUCACCCUCCCGGAUCCUGAUAAGGUUAUAGGCACUUCUUAAAUCUAAUUUAGUGUAGAUCUUGGCUUCUCUGAGUUGCUCUAGUGCUGCAGGAACUAAUGGCAGUGGAUAGCGAAACUUGACGGUAACAUUGUUCAAACCUCUAUAAUCGAUGCAGGGGCGUAAUCCUCCAUCCUUUUUCUCCACGAAGAAGAAUCCAGCCGCAGCUGGGGAAGUGGAUGGACGGAUGAACCCAGAGUUGAGAGCUUCCUCAAUAUACGCGUCCAAGGCUUGAUUUUCCGGAAGUGACAGUGGAUAGACCUUACUUUUGGGUGGCAUGGCGUUGGUUAACAAUUUUAUGGCGCAGUCCCAAUGACGAUGAGGUGGUAGUUGAGUGGCCCUGGUUUUGCUGAAGACCUCUUGAAGGUCCUGAUAAUAGGGUGAUAUGGUGACAUGCUUACUCUCUGGACUUUCGACACUGGUAGUGAGACAAGGUUUAGAGAGGACAUUAUUUAGACAUGUAGAAUAACAGAAUUGUGACCAACGUUUGAUCUCGCCACUCUGCCAAGAGAUGGCUCGGUCAUGAACAGAUAACCAGGGGUAUCCAAGUAUGAUUUUGUGGCAUGGGGAGUCGAUGACGUAGAAUCUAAUAGUCUCCUGGUGAAAUAGGCCUAUCUGCAUCCUCAAAGGGUGUGUUUGGUGGGUGAUACCGCUUCCAAUGGGUUUAUUGUUCACUGCUUUUACUUCAAUAGGUGGGUCACAUGGUAGGACGGGGAUGUGGUAUGUAUUAACAAGAUCCCGAUGAAUAAGGUUUAGUGCCGAGCUAGAGUCAAUCAGUGCUGAGAACUCAAACGAGUUGUUUCCAGUAGUUAUCUUAACCAUGGUAGUGAGAUUUUUAAUAUUGUGCUUGGAAACACUCACCCGACCGUUCUCUGUGUAGUCCCUCCGGGCUUUGAGUGGACACAUUGCAUUGUGGUGAGCUGUACUACCGCAGUAGAAACAUAAUUAGUGGGUGAAUCUUCUGGAUCUCUCUUCAGAUGACAGCCUGGUAACUCCUAGUUGCAUGGGCUCAGAAUUGACAUGAUCAUUAACAGGACAUGAUUCAAACAUCUGUGUAGUUCGAGAGAUAGGCAUGACAUUCGUAGACUUGGAUUGAGGGCGGUGAGUGUGGAUGAGGUUAUCAAUCCUGAUAGCCAACGUGACGUACUCAGAAAAGGAAUAGUCCUCACCUUUGCAAGCGAGCUCUGCCUGUAGCUCCAGACUUAAGCUACGACGAAACAUGGCCUUAAGUGCAACAUCAUUCCAUCCACUCUGAGCAGCGAUAGUUCUGAACUCAAUAGCAUGGUCGGCGGCCGAUUCGCGGCCUUGAGUGAGUUGUAUUAGCUGAGUGGAAACAUCCUUGCCCCCUGCUGGGUAUUCAAACACAUCCCUGAGUUGUUUAAUGAAAUACGGGAAAGAUGUUUGUAACAUACGGUCGGUUUCCCAAACUGCUGCGGCCCACUCACAGGACACAGGACAUGAGGAACGCACACUUCACACUUCGAAUGAAACCUUUA
ensembl:lncRNA